rnacentral:piRNA from 1 species
CCCGGUCUACGGAACGCCAGGAGGGGCAC